CUGUUUAUUUUUUAUGAUGCAGUCUCUGAGCCUGUUCCAUUUGAAACUGAAGCUCCCUCAAUGACCAUAGUUCCCACCACAGACAUUGAGCCUGUAACUGUGAGAACUGAGGCUACAGUGACAACAUUAGCUCCAAAAACAUCGCAACGAACAAGAACACGUCGUCCACGUCCCAAACAUAAAACCACGCCACGCCCAGAGACACCGCAGACCAAACUAGACUUUGGACCUAUUACUCCUGGGACAUCUUCAGCUCCAACAACAACAACAAAAAGAACCCGUCGUCCACAUCCCAAACCUAAAACCACGCCCCAUCCAGAAGUACCUCAGACUAAACUGGCUCCCAAAGUGCCUCAACGAACUCGUCGUCCACAUCCCAAACCUAAAACCACACUGAGUCCCGAAGAGCUUCAGACUGAACUGGUUCCUGUUACAGACCUCGAGCCUGUUACUUUUAGAACUGAGAUCCCUGCAACAACCUUAGCUACCAAAACAUCAAAAAGAACCCGCCCUCCACGUCCCAGACCUAAAACUACACCGAGCCCUCAGGCACCUGAGACCAAACCCGUUCCUGCUACAGUCCUAGAACCUGUCACUCUUAGACCUGAGGCCUCAACAACAUUAGCUUCCAAAACAUCACAACGGACACGUCGUCCACGUCUCAGAACAAAAACCACACCACGUCCUGAAGCACCUGAAUCCAAACCAGCUCCCAAGCAGACACCACGUGCUCCUCCUAAGCCAAAAACAUCACCACGCCCAAGAAUCCCACAAACACAACCAGUUCCUAAGGUGCCCCAGCGUGUUACUGCAAAACCAAAAACGUCACCAAGUCCAGAAGUGUCAUACACCACACCUGCUCCAAAAGAUGUGCUCCUUCCUCAUAAACCAUACCCUGAGGUCUCUCAGAGCGAACCUGCUCCUCUAGAGACACGAGGCAUCCCUUUUAUACCUAUGAUUUCCCCAAGUCCUAGUCAAGAGGAACUACAGACCACUCUGGAAGAAACAGACCAAUCCACCCAAGAACCUUUCACAACUAAGAUUCCACGAACAACUGAACUGGCAAAGACAACUCAGGCACCACACAGAUUUUAUACUACUGUGAGGCCCAGAACAUCUGACAAGCCACACAUCAGACCUGUUCUGAAUAGGACAACUACAAGACCUACUAGGCCCAAACCCAGUGGGAUGCCCAGUGGGAAUGGAGUGGGAACAGGGGUCAAGCAAGCACCCAGGCCAUCAGGUGCUGGUAGAAAUGUAUCAGCGGACUCUACCCACCCCACUAAAAAGCCAGGGACUCGCCGCCCACCCUUGCCACCCAGACCUACACCCCCACGAAGAAAACCUUUACCACCAAAUAAUGUCACUGGAAAGCCGGGAAGUGCAGGAAUCAUUUCAUCAGGCCCAAUAACUAUACCACCCCUGAGGUCAACACUCAGGCCUACUGGAACUCCCUUGGAGAGAAUAGUGACAGAUAUAAAGCAACCAACAGUUCCUGCCUCUGGAGAAGAACUGGAAAAUAUAACUGACUUUAGCUCAAGCCCAACAAGAGAAACUGAUCCUCUUGGGAAGCCAAGAUUCAAAGGACCUCAUGUGCGAUACAUCCAAAAGCCUGACAACAGUCCCUGCUCCAUUACUGACUCUGUCAAACGGUUCCCCAAAGAGGAGGCCACAGAGGGGAAUGCCACCAGCCCACCACAGAACCCACCCACCAACCUCACUGUGGUCACCGUGGAAGGGUGCCCCUCAUUUGUCAUCUUGGACUGGGAAAAGCCACUAAAUGACACUGUCACUGAAUAUGAAGUUAUAUCCAGAGAAAAUGGGUCAUUCAGUGGGAAGAACAAGUCCAUUCAAAUGACAAAUCAGACAUUUUCCACAGUAGAAAAUCUGAAACCAAACACAAGUUACGAAUUCCAGGUGAAACCCAAAAACCCGCUUGGUGAAGGCCCGGUCAGCAACACAGUGGCAUUCAGUACUGAAUCAGCGGACCCAAGAGUGAGUGAGCCAGUUUCUGCAGGAAGAGAUGCCAUCUGGACUGAAAGACCCUUUAAUUCCGACUCUUACUCAGAGUGUAAGGGCAAACAAUAUGUCAAAAGGACAUGGUAUAAAAAAUUUGUAGGAGUGCAGCUGUGCAACUCUCUCAGAUACAAGAUUUACUUGAGCGACUCCCUCACAGGAAAAUUUUAUAACAUAGGUGAUCAGAGGGGCCAUGGAGAAGAUCACUGCCAGUUUGUGGAUUCAUUUUUAGAUGGACGCACUGGGCAGCAACUCACUUCUGACCAGUUACCAAUCAAAGAAGGUUAUUUCAGAGCAGUUCGCCAGGAACCUGUCCAAUUUGGAGAAAUAGGUGGUCACACCCAAAUCAAUUAUGUUCAGUGGUAUGAAUGUGGGACUACAAUUCCUGGAAAAUGGUAGAUGCUGCACAAAGUUACCUUCUGUUUCAUCAUGGCAAAC
rnacentral:sRNA from 1 species